rnacentral:rRNA from 1 species
UACAGAGGUCUCAAGCGUUUGUUCGGAUUCAUUGGGGCGUAAAGGGUGUGUAGGUGGCGCCGUAAGUCGGGGUGUGAAAUUUCGGAGCUUAACUCCGAAACUGCAUUCGAUACUGCGGUGCUUGAGGACUGGAGAGGAGACUGGAAUUCAUGGUGUAGCAGUGAAAUGCGUAGAGAUCAUGAGGAAGACCAGUGGCGAAGGCGGGUCUCUGGACAGUUCCUGACACUGAGACACGAAGGCCAGGGGAGCAAACGGG